AUUGAACGCUGGCGGCAGGCCUAACACAUGCAAGUCGAACGGGUGGCGGACGGGUGAGUAAUGUCUGGGAAACGGCCCGAUGGAGGGGGAUAACUAAUGGAAACGGUAGCUAAUACCGAAUAGCAUAGGCUGGGCCCAGAUGGGAGUAGGUAGGAGGUGGGGUAAUGGCUCACCUAGGCGACGAUCCCUAGCUGGGCUGAGAGGAUGACCAGCCACACUGGAACUGAGACACGGUCCAGACGCCUACGGGAGGCAGCAGUGGGGAAUAUUGCACAAUGGGCGCAAGCCUGAUGCAGCCAUGCCGCGUGUAUGAAGAAGGCCUUCGGGUUGUAAAGUACUUUCAGCGAGGAGGCGUUACUCGCAGAAGAAGCACCGGCUAACUCCGUGCCAGCAGCCGCGGUAAUUC
rnacentral:rRNA from 1 species